rnacentral:rRNA from 1 species
ACACUCCUGCGGGAGGCAGCAGUAGGGAAUCUUCCACAAUGGGUGCAAACCUGAUGGAGCAAUGCCGCGUGAGUGAAGAAGGUCUUCGGAUCGUAAAGCUCUGUUGUUAGAGAAGAACACGUGCUAGGUAACUACUAGCGCCUUGACGGUAUCUAACCAGAAAGUCACGGCUAACUACGUGCCAGCAGCCGCGGUAAUACGUAGGUGACAAGCGUUGUCCGGAUUUAUUGGGCGUAAAGGGAGCGCAGGCGGUCUGUUUAGUCUAAUGUGAAAGCCCACGGCUUAACCGUGGAACGGCAUUGGAAACUGACAGACUUGAAUGUAGAAGAGGAAAAUGGAAUUCCAAGUGUAGCGGUGGAAUGCGUAGAUAUUUGGAGGAACACCAGUGGCGAAGGCGAUUUUCUGGUCUAACAUUGACGCUGAGGCUCGAAAGCGUGGGGAGCGAACAGGAUUAGAAACCCUGGUAGUCCCAUG